rnacentral:lncRNA from 1 species
CCGUAGGGGUCACUCCACGGAGUCUGCUAUGCUCGACGCUGUCCAAUUCAUAAUAUCGGAAACUGACAAGGGGAAAGUGGUGUCAAAUAUUGCGGCCGAUAUCUCCAAAGCCUUUGACAGCGUCGAGCAUGGCAGACUCAUGGAUAAACUAGGUUGGCACGGUGUGGAUGGGCACUGGUUUUCCGACUGGCUUGACGGUAGGCGUCAGAUAGUAAAAGGGGGGUCACACCUCCUUCCUGUCACCCAUGGCGUGGUACAGGGGAGCACUUUGGGAGCAAUCUUGUUCUCGUUAUUCACUAAUGAUGUCGCUUCCCAUGUCGUUUGCGAUAAAAUUGUAAUGUAUGCCGAUGACUCGCAAUUUCUCAACAGUUUCAACAAAAACGAUAUGAAUAGUCAUAAACACAAAGUGGAGGAUAUGCUCUCCAUCGUUCAGAACUGGGGUGACCAAAACGGACUUAAAAUUAAUCCGGCUAAAACCGAAAUGAUACUUUUUGGCAUGCCAAAACAAGGCAUUGGUGGCGACAUUAUGGUGAACUUUGCUGGUGCGCAGGUGCGGCCAGCAAUCAAGAUGAAAGUGUUAGGCGUCACAUUGGACCCCGAGCUGAAGUGGGAGGACCAUGUCUCGAUGGUGAUCCGGAGAUCAUACGCAACUUUGGCAGGGCUGGCGAAAUUUUCCCAUUCUUUACCCACCGCAGUAAAAAAGUUCAUUGUUGAGGCUCUGGUCUUCCCACAUACACUGUAAAAAAUGUUAGCACAGUUUGAGUUUUCUGACUCACUUUAACGAUGUGUUCAAACAACUAACUUGCUAAUGAAUCCGUAUUUAUCGAGUAAUUUAAACCUUAUUGCGAAGCAAAACACGGUUAGUCCAAAUCAGGAUGAACUAGCUCGGAAUCCCCAUGUACAAUGACACUGUUCGAGUAAUCGCCAUGUAUUCAUACCCGCAAUUGGCGGACACUGUGUUCCGAAACACGAAUACGAUUUUGUGGAAGCAUCUUUGCGCACGGUUCUACCGUGUUGAAUGACACGUUGCCGUGUUUUACCCCUCUGCGUCGAGUUUAAAAACCCGAAUGGGGUUAUUUGGGCCGCGAUCUUGAGGGACAUUAACACCAAUUAACACUGUGGGUUGUUAACUUACUCGGUUCAGUUUCGCGCCAAAUGCAGCGCCGCGUGGGCCUCAGUCGCCAUCUUUGUGCGAUCCAGGGAGGUCGUGUCUGUGCUGCGUGUGACUUCUUGUUGAAUAUGGCUCAAGAUGAGCAGAAUGAAGGUCAAUCUCGAAGUCCCACAGUCAGAGCUCAAGACUGUCAGGCAGGACUUCACUCCUUGAUGAAUGCGGCUCAACUGCUAACAGGAUAAGAAGACACGGACCGGGAGAAGUUGGACGCUUUUUAGAAUUUCCUCUCGUACCGCUAGUGUCAUGGGUGGACGGGAGCGAGGCUGCCAUCUCCGAAGACAACACGCCUCUGAGUGUGCGCCUCCUAGUUUGUGCGGCAAUGUUCCCCGUGUUCAAUGAGAAAAUUCAAUGCCCCAGCGCUCAGAACUCCCAGCUAGUAUUGACGCAAGAGCUCUCCCAAAUGUCGACCGGAAAGUCGUUAAAAAAAUCGUUGCGACGACCGCGGCUCGACAAGCUGAGGACCGCGCCAGUGAAUGCAUGUGAAACGGCACCUCUACUCUCUCAUCGCCAGGCCCAAAGACGUGUUGUUUAUAGGUGUCUUUCAUAAUACUAGUGUUGCUGAUCGCGGAGGACCACUGUCCACUGCUCGUCCGCCGUGGCGUUACUUCUGAUGAGGCUCAGAGCGCAUGUGUAUUGUUUACUGUGAACAGUCUGUUGAAAUAUAUAAUGAGUAGAUCUGUACUCUGAGACUUAAUGAACUUGGCUAACGAGGAUGUGUGUUAAAGCAAAACGAACUGUGUUACACGCCUCAAUAAUUAUGUGGAAUGAGUUGUAUAAAUGUAUACUUCAUGUCGAUUUAUUGCGGUUAAAGACGUUACCUC